CCCUUAGAUGUUCUGGGCCGCACGCGCGCUACACUGAUGCAUUCAACGAGCCUAUCCUUGACCGGCAGGUCCGGGUAAUCUUUGAAUCUGCAUCGUGACGGGGAUAGAUUAUUGCAAUUAUUAAUCUUCAACGAGGAAUGCCUAGUAGGCGCAAGUCAUCAGCUUGCGUCGAUUACGUCCCUGCCCUUUGUACACACCGCCCGUCGCUCCUACCGAUUGGGUGUGCUGGUGAAAUGUUCGGAUCGGCCGUUUGUCGCGGUUUCCGCGUCAUGUGGCUGAGAAGUUCAUUAAACCCUCCCACCUAGAGGAAGGAGAAGUCGUAACA
rnacentral:rRNA from 1 species